AUUGAACGCUGGCGGCAUGCCUUACACAUGCAAGUCGAACGGUAACAGGUCUUCGGAUGCUGACGAGUGGCGAACGGGUGAGUAAUACAUCGGAACGUGCCUAGUAGUGGGGGAUAACUACUCGAAAGAGUGGCUAAUACCGCAUGAGAUCUACGGACGAAAGCAGGGGAUCGCAAGACCUUGUGCUACUAGAGCGGCCGAUGGCAGAUUAGGUAGGUGGUGGGAUAAAAGCUUACCAAGCCGACGAUCUGUAGCUGGUCUGAGAGGACGAUAAGCCACACUGGGACUGAGACACGGCCCAGACUCCUACGGGGGGCAGCGGUGGGGAAUUUUGGACAAUGGGCGCAAGCCUGAUCCAGCAAUGCCGCGUGCAGGAUGAAGGCCUUCGGGUUGUAAACUGCUUUUGUACGGAACGAAAAGCCCUGGGUUAAUACCCUGGGGUCAUGACGGUACCGUAAGAAUAAGCACCGGCUAACUACGUGCCAGCCGCCGCCGUAACAC
rnacentral:rRNA from 1 species